rnacentral:rRNA from 1 species
UCCUGGUGGCGAGUGGCGAACGGGUGAGUAAUAUAUCGGAACGUGCCCAGUCGUGGGGGAUAACGUAGAGAAAUUUACGCUAAUACCGCAUACGAUCUAAGGAUGAAAGCGGGGGACUUCGCAAGAGGCCUCGCGCGAUUGGAGCGGCUGAUAUCAGAUUAGGUUGUUGGUGAGGUAAAAGCUCACCAAGCCGACGAUCUGUAGCUGGUUUGAGAGAACGACCAGCCACACUGGGACUGAGACACGGCCCAGACUCCUACGGGAGGCAGCAGUGGGGAAUUUUGGACAAUGGGCGAAAGCCUGAUCCAGCAAUGCCGCGUGCAGGAAGAAGGCCUUCGGGUUGUAAACUGCUUUUGUACGGAACGAAAAGGUCUGCCUUAAUACGGCGGGCCCAUGACGGUACCGUAAGAAUAAGCACCGGCUAACUACGUGCCAGCAGCCGCGGUAAUACGUAGGGUGCGAGCGUUAAUCGGAAUUACUGGGCGUAAAGCGUGCGCAGGCGGUGAUGUAAGACAGUUGUGAAAUCCCCGGGCUCAACCUGGGAAUUGCAUCUGUGACUGCAUCGCUAGAGUACGGUAGAGGGGGAUGGAAUUCCGCGUGUAGCAGUGAAAUGCGUAGAUAUGCGGAGGAACACCGAUGGCGAAGGCAAUCCCCUGGACCUGUACUGACGCUCAUG